AUGCAAGUCGAGGGGCAGCAUGAUCGAAGCUUGCUUUGAUUGAUGGCGACCGGCGCACGGGUGAGUAACGCGUAUCCAACCUUCCCUAUAGUAGAGAAUAGCCCGGCGAAAGUCGGAUUAAUGCUCUAUGUUGUAUUUAGAGGACAUCUGAAGAAUACCAAAGGUUUUACCGCUAUAGGAUGGGGAUGCGUCUGAUUAGGUAGUAGGCGGGGUAACGGCCCACCUAGCCGACGAUCAGUAGGGGUUCUGAGAGGAAGGUCCCCCACAUUGGAACUGAGACACGGUCCAAACUCCUACGGGAGGCAGCAGUGAGGAAUAUUGGUCAAUGGACGGAAGUCUGAACCAGCCAAGUAAGCGUGCAGGAUGACGGCCCUAUGGGUUGUAAACUGCUUUUAUAUAGGGAUAAAGUCGGGGACGUGUCCCCGUUUGUAGGUACUGUAUGAAUAAGGACCGGCUAAUUCCGUGCCAGCCGCCGC
rnacentral:rRNA from 1 species